rnacentral:tRNA from 1 species
GCCGGGUUGGCAGAGUGGUUAUUGCGCGGGCCUUGAGAGCCCGUGACCGUCAUCGGUCGCGUAGGUCCGAAUCCUACACCCGGCG